ACGGAAGGCAGCAGUGGGGAAUAUUGCACAAUGGGCGAAAGCCUGAUGCAGCGACGCCGCGUGAGUGAAGAAGUAUCUCGGUAUGUAAAGCUCUAUCAGCAGGGAAGAAAAUGACGGUACCUGACUAAGAAGCCCCGGCUAACUACGUGCCAGCAGCCGCGGUAAUACGUAGGGGGCAAGCGUUAUCCGGAUUUACUGGGUGUAAAGGGAGCGUAGACGGUUUGGCAAGUCUGAAGUGAAAUGCGGGGGCUCAACUCCUGAACUGCUUCGGAAACUGUCGAACUAGAGUGCAGGAGAGGUAAGUGGAAUUCCUAGUGUAGCGGUGAAAUGCGUAGAUAUUAGGAGGAACACCAGUGGCGAAGGCGGCUUACUGGACUGUAACUGACGUUGAGGCUCGAAAGCGUGGGGAGCAAACAGGAUUAGAUACCCUGGUA
rnacentral:rRNA from 1 species